UACGAAGGGGGCUAGCGUUGCUCGGAAUCACUGGGCGUAAAGGGUGCGUAGGCGGGUCUUUAAGUCAGGGGUGAAAUCCUGGAGCUCAACUCCAGAACUGCCUUUGAUACUGAAGAUCUUGAGUUCGGGAGAGGUGAGUGGAACUGCGAGUGUAGAGGUGAAAUUCGUAGAUAUUCGCAAGAACACCAAUGGCGAAGGCAGCUCGCUGGGACGGUACUGACGCUGAGGCGCGAAAGCGUGGGGAGCAAACAGG
rnacentral:rRNA from 1 species